rnacentral:rRNA from 1 species
GACGAACGCUGGCGGCGUGCCUAAUACAUGCAAGUAGAACGCACAGUUUAUACCGUAGCUUGCUACACCAUAGACUGUGAGUUGCGAACGGGUGAGUAACGCGUAGGUAACCUGCCUGGUAGCGGGGGAUAACUAUUGGGAACGAUAGCUAAUACCGCAUAAUAUUAAUUAUUGCAUGAUAAUUAAUUGAAAGGUGCAAUUGCACCACUACCAGAUGGACCUGCGUUGUAUUAGCUAGUAGGUGAGGUAACGGCUCACCUAGGCGACGAUACAUAGCCGACCUGAGAGGGUGAUCGGCCACACUGGGACUGAGACACGGCCCAGACUCCUACGGGAGGCAGCAGUAGGGAAUCUUCGGCAAUGGACGAAAGUCUGACCGAGCAACGCCGCGUGAGUGAAGAAGGUUUUCGGAUCGUAAAGCUCUGUUGUAAGAGAAGAACGGGUGUGAGAGUGGAAAGUUCACACUGUGACGGUAUCUUACCAGAAAGGGACGGCUAACUACGUG